GCCUACGGGAGGCAGCAGUGAGGAAUAUUGGUCAAUGGGCGCAAGCCUGAACCAGCCAUGCCGCGUGCAGGAUGACGGUCCUAUGGAUUGUAAACUGCUUUUAUACAGGAAGAAACACUCCCUCGUGAGGGAGCUUGACGGUACUGUAGGAAUAAGGAUCGGCUAACUCCGUGCCAGCAGCCGCGGUAA
rnacentral:rRNA from 1 species